GGUGUCUGCAGUGUUGAAACACCAGAUCCCACAUGAUCACUGAAGUUAAGCAAUGUUGAGCCUGGUCAGUAUAUAGACAGGUAACUGUGUGGGAAUUGCCAGGUGCUGUAAG